GGCUCAGAUUGAACGCUGGCGGCAGGCCUAACACAUGCAAGUCGAGCGGUAGAGAGGUGCUUGCAUCUCUUGAGAGCGGCGGACGGGUGAGUAAUGCCUAGGAAUCUGCUGGUGGUGGGGGAUAACGUUCGGAAACGGACGCUAAUACCGCAUACGUCCUACGGGAGAAAGCGGGGGAUCUUCGGACCUCGCGCCAUUAGAUGAGCCUAGGUCGGAUUAGCUAGUUGGUGAGGUAAUGGCUCACCAAGGCGACGAUCCGUAACUGGUCUGAGAGGAUGAUCAGUCACACUGGAACUGAGACACGGUCCAGACUCCUACGGGAGGCAGCAGUGGGGAAUAUUGGACAAUGGGCGAAAGCCUGAUCCAGCCAUGCCGCGUGUGUGAAGAAGGUCUUCGGAUUGUAAAGCACUUUAAGUUGGGAGGAAGGGUAGUAACCUAAUACGUUGCUACUUUGACGUUACCGACAGAAUAAGCACCGGCUAACUUCGUG
rnacentral:rRNA from 1 species